rnacentral:rRNA from 1 species
GCCCAGUAUACGACUCUUUAACGAAGCCUAGUGGAAUCCUGAGUAGCGCGGAGCACGAGAAAUUCUGUGUGAAUCAGCGGGGCCCAUCCCGUAAGGCUAAAUACUCCCGAGAGACCGAUAGCGAACCAGUACUGUGAAGGAAAGGUGAAAAGCACCUCGAACAGAGGAGUGAAAUAGUCCCUGAAACCGUCUGCCUACAAGCGGUCGGAGCAACGUAAGUUGUGACGGCGUGCCUUUUGCAUAAUGAACCUACGAGUUACUUUCUCCGGCAAGGUUAAGGGCUUCAGGCCCGGAGCCGAAGCGAAAGCGAGUCUUAAUAGGGCGUGAUAGUCGGAGUGAGUAGACGCGAAACCAAGUGAUCUACCCUUGGUCAGGUUGAAGGUUGGGUAACACCAACUGGAGGUCCGAAUGGGUAUACGUUGAAAAGUGUUCCAAUGAACUGAGGGUAGGGGUGAAAGGCUAAUCAAACUUGGAGAUAGCUCGUACUCCCCGAAAUGCAUUUAGGUGCAGCCUUUAUUUAGUAUAGCAUGAGGUAGAGCGACUGAUUGGAUGCGAGGGCUUCACCGCCUAUCAAGUCCAGAUAAACUCCGAAUGCGUGCUAUAUAUUGAUAAGGAGUGAGGGCGCGGGUGCUAAGGUCCGCGUCCGAGAGGAGAAGAAUCCAGACCAUCAGCUAAGGUCCCCAAAUAACAGUUAAGUUGAACUAACGAAGUCGGACUGCAGAGACAGCUAGGAUGUUGGCUUGGAAGCAGCCAUUCAUUUAAAGAGUGCGUAACAGCUCACUAGUCGAGGAGUCCGGCGUGGAUAAUACUCGGGCAUAAACUGUUUACCGAAGCUAUGGAUGUAGAAAUACAUGGUAGGGGAGCAUUCCAACGGCGUCGAAGGUGAAGGAUGACCUUUGCUGGAGCUUUUGGAAACGCAAAUGUAGGUAUAAGUAACGAUAAAGGAGGUGAGAAACCUCCUCGCCGAAAGACUAAGGUUUCCUGAUCAACGUUAAUCGGAUCAGGGUAAGUCGGGACCUAAGGUUAAGCCGAACGGCGAUACCGAUGGAAGAAUGGUUUAAUAUUCCCAUACUACUUUAUGGAGCGAUGUGGAGACGGAGAAGUGAAAGUCCUGCCAUCUGACGGAAUAGGUGGUUGAAGAGUGUAGAUGUAGAUUCCUGUAGGCAAAUCCGCAGGGAGAGUCGACCUUGACAGUAUGCCGCGUGCUUGCACAAGGCAAAAUGGACGUAAUCAGGCUCCCAAGAAAAUCCGCUAAGCAUAUUCAUAAAGUACCCGUACCGUAAACGGACACACGUAGUUGGGUUGAAAAUACUGAGGCGCUCGAGUGAUUCACGGUUAAGGAACUAGGCAAAUUGACCCUGUAACUUCGGGAUAAAGGGUCCCUACUGAGAGGUAGGGCGCAGAGAAUAGGUCCAGGCAACUGUUUAACAAAAACACAUGGCUGUGCGAAAUAGAAAUAUGAAGUAUACAGCCUGACACCUGCCCGGUGCUGGAAGGUUAAGAGGAGAGCUCAUCGCAAGAGAAGGCUUGAAUUGAAGCCCCAGUAAACGGCGGCCGUAACUAUAACGGUCCUAAGGUAGCGAAAUUCCUUGUCGGGUAAGUUCCGACCUGCACGAAUGGUGUAAUGAUCUGGACACUGUCUCAACCGUGAGCU